rnacentral:lncRNA from 1 species
AUGACGACCGCGUCUACCUCGCAGGUGCGCCAGAACUACCACCAAGACUCAGAGGCCGCCAUCAACCGCCAGAUCAACCUGGAGCUCUACGCCUCCUCCAUUUACCUGUGCGUGGCUUACUACUUUGACAGCGAUGAUGUGGCUUUGAAGAACUUUGCCAAAUACUUUCUUCACCAAUCUCAUGAGGAGAGGGAACAUGCUGAGAAAUUGAUGAAGCUGUAGAACCAACGAGGUGGCCGAAUCUUCCUUCAGGAUAUCAAGAAACCAGACUGUGCGGGGAGAAUGCGAUGGGAGAGCGGGCUGAAUGCGAUGGAUUACAUUUGGAAAAAAUUGUGCAUUUUGCAUUACAUUUGGAAAAAAAUGUGAAUCAGUCACUACUGGAACUGCACAAACUGGCCACUGACAAAAAUGACCCCCAUUUGUGUGACUUCAUUGAGACACAUUACCUGAAUGAACAAGUGAAGGCCAUCAAAGAAUUGGGUGACCACGUGACCAACAUGCACGAGAUGGGAGCGCCCGAAUCUGGCGUGGCAGAAUACCUCUUUGACAAGCACACCCUGGGAGACAGUGAUAAUGAAAGCUAA